rnacentral:rRNA from 1 species
UACAGAGGGGGCAAGCGUUGUUCGGAAUUACUGGGCGUAAAGGGCGCGUAGGCGGCCUGCUAAGUCGAACGUGAAAUCCCUGGGCUCAACCCAGGAACUGCGUCCGAUACUGGUUGGCUUGAAUCCGGGAGAGGGACGUGGAAUUCCAGGUGUAGCGGUGAAAUGCGUAGUUAUCUGGAGGAACACCGGUGGCGAAGGCGACGUCCUGGACCGGCAUUGACGCUGAGGCGCGAAAGCCAGGGGAGCAAACGGG